GAAGAAAUUCGUAAGGGCGUAUGGUGGAUGCCUUGACUCUAAAAGGCGAUGAAGGACGUGGCAUGUCUGCGAUAAGCUUCGGGAAGGUGACUAGCAACCUGUGAUCCGGAGAUCUCCGAAUGGGGAAACCUAAUCUACUGAACGUAGAUUUUCUUGCGUCUGUAAAGGACACAAGAAGCGAACCUAGGGAAGUGAAACAUCUCAGUACCUAGAGGAAGAGAAAACAAUGUCUAUUUAUUUAGAUAAUAUUCUGUGAGUAGCGGCGAGCGAAAGCGGAAGAGCCCAAACCGAACUUGCUUUUUAAGUAGGUUCGGGGUUGUAGGACAACAGUGUCAUCCUCGUGAUGAGGAAAGUCAAAAAAUAUUUUGUUAGUUGAAUUUGCUGGGAAGCGAAACCCAAGAAGGUAAUAGUCCUGUAAACGAAAACAUUAUAUCUUUCUUAUUGUUGUUCCUGAGUACCUCAAGACACGAAUAGCUUGGGGGAAUCUUCCGGAACUAACCGGUA
rnacentral:ncRNA from 1 species